GCCCCUCUGCACUGACAACCGGACCAACAAGGCAAGCACCUGUUCCUAACCAUGACAGCCAAGUUGGAAGCCCCUCUGCAGCUCACUGCUGCAGGUGCUCUGCUCCUCGUGCAACUGUUGGCACACAAACAGAGGCGACAGAUGCAGACACUGCAGAUUCUGUCAUACCCGUGUCUGCACAGGUCAACCCUGGGUGCAAUGCGGCUGCCC
rnacentral:lncRNA from 1 species